UCGAGGAUCUUCGGCAAUGGGCGCAAGCCUGACCGAGCGACGCCGCGUGGAGGAUGAAGGCCUUCGGGUUGUAAACUCCUAUCGAGGGGGAUCAAGGGGCAACCUUGAGUGAUCCCUGGAGGAAGCACGGGCUAAGUUCGUGCCAGCAGCCGCGGUAAGACGAACCGUGCGAACGUUGUUCGGAAUCACUGGGCAUAAAGGGCGCGUAGGCGGCUUAUCAAGUCAGGGGUGAAAUCCGGCAGCUUAACUGUCGAAGUGCCCUUGAUACUGAUGAGCUCGAGGGAGAUAGGGGUGUGUGGAACUUCCGGUGGAGCGGUGAAAUGCGUUGAUAUCGGAAGGAACGCCGGUGGCGAAAGCGACACACUGGAGCUCUUCUGACGCUGAGGCGCGAAAGCCAGGGGAGCAAACGG
rnacentral:rRNA from 1 species